rnacentral:rRNA from 1 species
UACGUAGGGGGCGAGCGUUGUCCGGAAUUAUUGGGCGUAAAGAGCGUGUAGGCUGUUCGGUAAGUCUGCCGUGAAAACCUGAGGCUCAACCUCGGGCGUGCGGUGGAUACUGCCGGGCUAGAGGACGGUAGAGGCGAGUGGAAUUCCCGGUGUAGCGGUGAAAUGCGCAGAUAUCGGGAGGAACACCGGUGGCGAAGGCGGCGACCUGGGUAGAUACUGACGCUGAGGUGCGAAAGCGUGGGGAGCAAACAGG